CUUCUCAUUUAGGUCAUGUGCCACACACGUGUUCAUUUAAAAUCCUAUUUGAAAUUACAACUAUGCCAUUAAAUUUCCAUGUGCAACUCACAUGUCUCCUAAUUAACACUCAAUCUCUUUCUUUUUUCUGCUCGACGCUGAUUCCUACCCCAAUUCAAAAUAAAAUAAAUAAAUAAAUAAAUAAUUCUCUUUUCUUCUUUUUUCUUCUUCGCUUCCACCAAUUCAAGAACACCUCCAUGCACUUCCAACUCUACCCGCCGAAAUUUUCAACAAAUUUCACCAAAUAUUUAGAAAUAAAUAAAUAAAUAAAUAAAUUUUGUCAUUCACACUAAUCCAACCGAACCCAUCACUUUCUCUUCUACAUAAAAUUUUUCUUCUUUUCUCAUCACGAAGAACAACAAGACUUCUCAUCCAAAUUGUGAAGAAAAUCAAGUGGGUAUCUCACAAAAGCGAAGAAAUUGUCAAUUAAGGAGCAAAUUUUACCGAAACGCAAAAAAUCAAUGGAAAAAUUUAACCAGGUUAGUCAAUCUGUUUACUAGUGAAACGGAUAAAGAACAACUCGGCUUAAGGUCAGCGCGUAGGUCCACAGGUCAGGUUUUGGGUUAAUCAACCAAUCUAUAUAAACUUGUUUGUAUGUGGGCCUGUGGGCUGUAGCUUGAAAAUUUGCUGUGUUGUAUUUAGCUAAGCCCAUGUUAAAGCUCAGCUUAUGUGUAAGUUGGCUAGUAUUUCAACCCAGGUUCAAACCCUGAUAUCAAAAGCUUAGCCCAUGAGAUGUUGGCCCACAAGAGAAGAAUUGGAGUGCCACAUGUUAUGUUGUGACACGUCACCAUGACAUGUCACUAUAAUGCCAUAUCACCAUGCCACAGCAACAUAAUGCCACAUCAUCAUGCCAAGUAGCAUGACAUCGAUGACAUUAGCGUGAGGUUAGCGAUGAUGUCAGUGAUGAUAUCGAUGUUGGUGGGUGUAUCGAAUAAUUCUUUGGAUGUAUAUAACAAUUUUGUAGUGUACACAGCAAUGUUAUAGUGUAUACAACAAUUUUAUGGGUGUGCACUGUAAUUUUGCAGGUGUAUACAGUAUUUUAUGGGUGUAUAUAGAAAAAUUUAGAAAAAUCGCAUUGUUUUAUUUUCUUAUUGAAAGUUGGGUUUGAUUAGUUUGUUGGGGUUUUAAACAGCAAUUAAUUGAUUUCUAUAUUGUGUUUACAAAAAUGACAAGUGGAUAUGAUAAUGUGACUUGUAAUA